UGUGAACGUGUCCUGAUUUUUAAUUUUUAAACUGCGAACGUUUUUUUUCUUUUUACUUUCUAACCGGCCGGAUACAAGUACGAUCGAGCUAUUCGUGUGCUCUAUGGCUAUUGUAAUGGUGCGGUGACGUCAUCUGGUAAGCAAUUAUGAGUGAGGAGCUCUAACUAAUUACAAGUUAACUUGCAAAACAACGAAGGCUUCAGGGGUAAACACCAGAAAUGCCAGAGUUACUAAAGGUAUUUAGAAGAAAGAAGUUGUCUCAACAACGCUAAGGGAGGAUCACAAUCACCCCAUCCAAUGAAUGGUCAUUAGGCAUUUGUAUGUUUUUGUGAAGUUGUUUUUCAAGUCAGGUUGAAUGUACAAUAAACGGUAAUUGCGCCAUGUAUACAGCAUCUAAGGCCACGGUCGUGUGUGGGCGGAGCGGACUGCAAUUAACAGGAUUAGUUAUAUAGAAACAUUAGUAUUUGCACUUUUCUAAGCGAUGAAUCAGUUUACAGUGAUUUGAAGCUAAAUGUUUUAGCCAUAUUUAUGUUUACACGUAAUAAAAACUGAAAUAAU